rnacentral:tRNA from 1 species
GCACUCGUGCUCAGUUGCUUAGAACAUCUGACUCUUAAUCAGUGGGUCCUCGGUUCGGGCCGAAGCGAGUGUACCA